CUACCUGUCCAGUGCAGUGCCACGAGGCUACUGUCCAAACGGUGAGUUUUUUUUUUAGAGCUUUGAAUAUCUAGACUUAGACCGUGUUUUCCCCGCGUUCAUCUGGUCAGGUUCAGCUUCGCAAUCGUCUUUUGGUUCGGUGGCUGUCGGAUCUGAGCUAAUGCAGCACUACUGAGCCGUCUCUGACUCUUGAGGAGCAUGGAGUCGGUGACUGACGCACUAUGGCCAUGGCCUACUCUAGCACGGGUCGCCCAAUCCGACCACGCCAAUUCUGCACGAACUCCCAGCGAAUUCACCAGCGAUAUGUCAGGUGACAAUUGACGGUCUCGGUUCAGCAUUUCAGCAGCAAAAACUAGCUCACCUGAGCAGCAAAGGUUCAAAUUCUAAAUGCUAAUAGCAUCUCCAACAACAACAGCUCCUGAAAAUAUAUCUCCCAACAAACAAUUAUUGGAACAUCCUUAAACAUCUUUGCUCCUUAAGAAAAAAGAUUAUACUCUGACAGACCCCUUUAAUUUCCUAAAAAAAUUGUACUCCAACGCCGACCUGCUCUGCAUCAUCCGCACCAUUGUCGCCAACCGCUGCAGGUUGCCGUGCUUCUCCCUCAACUCCCCCGUGUCGUGAGCAGACUCAGCGGAGGAGGUUCUUUUCGCGUGCGGAAGGAUUCAUAGAAGUGAUAGGAAUCCGUUGGAUGAGAGUUUUCUCAUUUUUUCCAAAAAUUAAGGAUUAGAAUUGGUAUUAUUGGAGAUGCUCUAAGAGACAGAUCCAAGCACAGGGUGAGACCAGUC